rnacentral:rRNA from 1 species
UACGUAGGGGGCAAGCGUUGUCCGGAAUCAUUGGGCGUAAAGAGCGUGUAGGCGGCCAGGUAGGUCGGUUGUGAAAACUAGAGGCUCAACCUCUAGACGUCGACCGAAACCAUCUGGCUAGAGUCCGGAAGAGGAGAGUGGAAUUCCUGGUGUAGCGGUGAAAUGCGCAGAUAUCAGGAAGAACACCCGUGGCGAAGGCGGCUCUCUGGGACGGUACUGACGCUGAGACGCGAAAGCGUGGGGAGCGAACAGG